rnacentral:rRNA from 1 species
AAUCAACGCUGGCGGCGUGCCUAACACAUGCAAGUCGAACGCGACUGGGGGCUUCGGCCUCAGUUGAGUGGCGAACGGGUGAGUAACACGUGGGUGACCUACCUUCGAAUGGGGGAUAACGUCCCGAAAGGGACGCUAAUACCGCAUAACAUCCUGCCUUUGAACAGGCGGAGAUCAAAGCCGGGGAUCGCAAGACCUGGCGUUUGAAGAGGGGCCUGCGUCCGAUUAGCUAGUUGGUGAGGUAACGGCUCACCAAGCGACGAUCGGUAGCCGGCCUGAGAGGGCGGGACGGCCACACUGGGACUGAGACACGGCCCAGACUCCUACGGGAGGCAGCAGUGGGGAAUUGUUCGCAAUGGGCGCAAGCCUGACGACGCAACGCCGCGUGGAGGAUGAAGGUCUCGGAUUGUAAACUCCUGUUG